rnacentral:rRNA from 1 species
CGGUUGAUCCUGCCGGACCACACUGUUAUCGGGAUAGGACUAAGACAUGCUAGUCGCGCGCCUCCCAAGCAUACUUUACGUUGGAGGCGCGGCGCACAGCUCAGUAACACGUGGCUAACCUGCCCUUGGGACGGGGAUACCCCCGGGAAACUGGGGCUAAUCCCCGAUAGGUGAAGAACUCUGGAAUGAGUCUUCGCCCAAAAGGCGCUUUAAGCAUGCUUUUAGGCGCCGCCCAAGGAUGGGGCCGCGUCCGAUCAGGUAGUUGGUGAGGCAACGGCUCACCAAGCCUUUAACCGGUGCGGGCCGUGGGAGCGGGAGCCCGGAGAUGGGCACUGAGACAAGGGCCCAGGCCCUACGGGGCGCAGCAGUCGCGAAAACUUUGCAAUACACGAAAGUGUGACAGGGCUAUCCCGAGUGCCAUCCGCUGAGGAUGGCUUUUACCCAGUCUAGAAAGCUGGGAGAAUAAGGAGAGGGCAAGUCUGGUGUCAGCCGCCGCGGUAAUACCAGCUCUCCGAGUGGUGUGGAUGUUUAUUGGGCCUAAAGCAUCCGUAGCUGGCUGAGUUAGUCCCCUGUUAAAUCCAGCGAAUUAAUCGUUGGAGUGCGGGGGAUACUGCUCGGCUAGGGGACGGGAGAGGCCGACGGUAUUUUCGGGGUAGGGGUGAAAUCCUAUAAUCCCGGGAAGACCACCAGUGGCGAAGGCUGUCGGCUAGAACGUGCCCGACGGUGAGGGAUGAAAGCUGGGGGAGCGAACCGGAUUAGAUACCCGGGUAGUCCCAGCUGUAAACGAUGCAGGCUAGGUGUUAGGGCGGCCACGUGCCGCUCUAGUGCCGCAGGGAAGCCGUUAAGCCUGCCGCCUGGGGAGUACGGCCGCAAGGCUGAAACUUAAAGGAAUUGGCGGGGGAGCAC